rnacentral:lncRNA from 1 species
ACAAGAUCGCUGUGGCUGUGCAGGCUUGAAUGGUUCUCUGUGUCCUGCUCUGAGAUCUGCUGUCGGGUGCAUUGAGGGGACCUCAGGAAGUUCUGAGAUUUAGACAUGGAUGCAGUGACUUUUGACGAUGUGCAUGUGAAUUUCACUAAAGAAGAAUGGAAUUUGAUGGAUGCUUCCCAGAUGAAUCUCUACAAAGAUGUUAUGUUGGAGACCUACUGGAACCUUACUUCUAUAGGCUACAAAUGGGAAGACCAUCAUAUUGAAGAAUCAUGUCAAAGUUCUCGAAGACAUACAAGGCAUGGAAGAAGUCAUAGGUGGAAGAAACUCUAUGAAUGUAAUCAAUGUGGUAAAGCCUUUGCAAGACCCGCUGAUCUCCAAUAUCAUAAAAGAACCCAUACAGGAGAGAAACCUUAUGAAUGUAAUCAAUGUGGUAAAGCCUUUUCCUGUCACAGUGGUCUCAGAUAUCAUAAAAGAACCCAUACUGGAGAGAAACCUUUUGAAUGUAAUCAAUGUGGUAAAGCCUUUUCCUGUCACAGUGGUCUCAGAUCUCAUAAAAGAACCCAUACUGG